rnacentral:lncRNA from 1 species
AUAUAGCUAGGUUUUGGAGAAAAUUGAGGACUAGGCCUAAAAUUUUGUAUUUUUUUUUAAAUUAGGCAACUUGAAAAUCAUUAGAUGUUUCUGAACACGAGAAGGACUUGGGCGGAUAUAUAUGGCGGCAGUCAAAAUAAAGAGCAGUGGAUGCAGGAGAUAAGGCCAGUGAUUCUAUGAGCUCUCACCCUGUAAAUACAGAUGCAGAGGUGGACUGAUGGCCACAAGGCUAAAACCAGCAGCUGUCCAGGUUCUUGGCCUUUCAUUACAGGUAUGUUCUAGAGAGAAUUAACGGGGCAAAGAACAAACAAAA